CUAAUCUUCUCUCGGAGCGGGCAGGGGCGGCAGUGGGCGCGGCGAGGGCUCAAAGAAGGACGGCCACGCUGGGCUGCAGGACAGAACUGGAGGGUCCUUAGCGACCUUGGGUUACUUCCCGUCUGAAAGCUGAUGCGGACGCGAAUGACGGCGUUACGGGCUGAACAGUGUUACUCAAGUCGCAUGUUGGAGUUCCCAGCCCAGGGCCUCAGAGCGACGGUGCCCGGAGACGGGUCUUUGCAGAAGUGAUGAGGGGCCUUUGCACCUGCUGCUUCCUGCCUAGAGCACCUUGCCCCAGUUCCUCACCUGGCUCACUCCUCCACUGUGUGAUGUCCCCGCACGUCUGAGGGAUUUCCCGGCCUCCCCGUCCAGAGGACCCCAUCUCCUCCUGACCACGUGACUCCAGUCCCUUGCCCCAUGAAUCCCCCUUAAACGCCUUGUAUUUUGCGUGUGUUCAUCGGUCUCCCCCACCGGCCGGCGAGCUGUGCGGGCAGGGGCUUUGCUUCCCCCGCUGCUGCUCUGUUCCCAGGGCUAAUGCGGUGCUGGGCUCCUGUGGGGACUCAGUCUCCAUCGGUGAAGUCAUGAAGGAAGGAGCGAUGUCCGCCUCAUUCCUGAGGACUCGAGGAGCGGCUCCCGUGAGCCAGGCGCAGAAAUUGGA